AAGUCGUAACAAGGUUUCCGUAGGUGAACCUGCGGAAGGAUCAUUCAUGUGAAUUGAAACUCUUCAAACCUUUGUGUUAACUAUUAGUUACUUGUGCCCAGGUUCUGUGUUUUUCUUUUGUUGGCUGCGUUUUCUUCCAUCGCACACUAUUUUCAAGGCACUUUAAAAAAAUGGCUAGAGAAUAGGAAAAGGAAUGAUAAAUGCUACCUAUUAAACCUUAACCUUUUUAAACUCAAACCAAAACUUUACCAUAAAAACACCUAAAACUUAUUACAACUUUUAACGAUGGAUCCCUCGGCUCUCA
rnacentral:misc_RNA from 1 species